AUCCAGCUGACGAGUCCCUAAUAGAACGAAAUGCGCAUCUUGGAU
rnacentral:hammerhead_ribozyme from 1 species